rnacentral:rRNA from 1 species
GAUCCUGGCUCAGGAUGAACGCUAGCUACAGGCUUAACACAUGCAAGUCGAGGGGAAACGACAUCGAAAGCUUGCUUUUGAUGGGCGUCGACCGGCGCACGGGUGAGUAACGCGUAUCCAACCUGCCCAUCACUUGGGAAGUAACCUUGCGAAAGUAAGACUAAUACCCAAUGAUAUCCCACGAAGGCAUCCGAAUGGGAUUAAAGAUUUAUCGGUGAUGGAUGGGGAUGCGUCUGAUUAG